rnacentral:rRNA from 1 species
CCUACGGGAGGCAGCAGUGAGGAAUAUUGGUCAAUGGCCGGGAGGCUGAACCAGCCAAGUCGCGUGAGGGAAGACGGCCCUACGGGUUGUAAACCUCUUUUGUCAGGGAGCAAGGUGCAGGUCGGGACCUGCUGUGAGCGUACCUGAAGAAACAGCAUCGGCUAACUCCGUUCCAGCAGCCGCGGUACUACGGAGGAUGCGAGCGUUAUCCGGAUUUAUUGGGUUUAAAGGGUGCGCAGGCGGAGGCACAAGUCAGCGGGAAAAUCGCGGGGCUCAACCCCGCUCCGCCGUUGAAACUGUUUGCCUUGAGUGCGCGAAGGGUAGGCGGAAUGCGUGGUGUAGCGGUGAAAUGCAUAGAUAUCACGAAGAACUCCGAUCGCGAAGGCAGCCUACCGGCGCGCAACUGACGCUGAUGCACGAAAGCGUGGGUAUCGAACAGGAUUAGAGACCCCAGUAGUC